AACCUGGCGGCGAGUGGCGAACGGGUGAGUAAUAUAUCGGAACGUACCCAAGAGUGGGGGAUAACGUAGCGAAAGUUACGCUAAUACCGCAUACGAUCUAAGGAUGAAAGCAGGGGACCGCAAGGCCUUGUGCUCCUGGAGCGGCCGAUAUCUGAUUAGCUAGUUGGUGAGGUAAAGGCUCACCAAGGCGACGAUCAGUAGCUGGUCUGAGAGGACGACCAGCCACACUGGAACUGAGACACGGUCCAGACUCCUACGGGAGGCAGCAGUGGGGAAUUUUGGACAAUGGGCGCAAGCCUGAUCCAGCAAUGCCGCGUGAGUGAAGAAGGCCUUCGGGUUGUAAAGCUCUUUUGUCAGGGAAGAAACGGUGCGGGCUAAUAUCCCGCGCUAAUGACGGUACCUGAAGAAUAAGCACCGGCUAACUACGUGCCAGCAGCCGCGGUAAUACGUAGGGUGCAAGCGUUAAUCGGAAUUACUGGGCGUAAAGCGUGCGCAGGCGGUUUUGUAAGUCUGAUGUGAAAUCC
rnacentral:rRNA from 1 species